UACGGGGGGGGCAAGCGUUGUUCGGAAUUACUGGGCGUAAAGGGUUCGUAGGUGGCUUGUUAAGUCAGACGUGAAAUCCCUCGGCUCAACCGGGGAACUGCGUCUGAGACUGAUGAGCUCGAGUGCAGGAGAGGAACGCGGAAUUCCAGGUGUAGCGGUGAAAUGCGUAGAUAUCUGGAGGAACACCGGUGGCGAAGGCGGCAUCCUGGACCAACACUGACACUGAGGAGCGAAAGCCAGGGGAGCAAACGGG
rnacentral:rRNA from 1 species